AUUGAACGCUGGCGGCAGGCUUAACACAUGCAAGUCGAGCGGAGAGAGGUAGCUUGCUACUGAUCUUAGCGGCGGACGGGUGAGUAAUGCUUAGGAAUCUGCCUAUUAGUGGGGGACAACAUUUCGAAAGGAAUGCUAAUACCGCAUACGUCCUACGGGAGAAAGCAGGGGAUCUUCGGACCUUGCGCUAAUAGAUGAGCCUAAGUCGGAUUAGCUAGUUGGUGGGGUAAAGGCCUACCAAGGCGACGAUCUGUAGCGGGUCUGAGAGGAUGAUCCGCCAGACUGGGACUGAGACACGGCCCAGACUCCUACGGGAGGCAGCAGUGGGGAAUAUUGGACAAUGGGCGCAAGCCUGAUCCAGCCAUGCCGCGUGUGUGAAGAAGGCCUUAUGGUUGUAAAGCACUUUAAGCGAGGAGGAGGCUACUUUAGAUAAUACCUAGAGAUAGUGGACGUUACUCGCAGAAUAAGCACCGGCUAACUCUGUGCCAGCAGCCGCGGUAAAAC
rnacentral:rRNA from 1 species